AAACGGGGAAUUUCCCCUUAGUAGCGGCGAGCGAAGCGGGAAGAGCUCAAAUUUAUAAUCUGGCACCUUCGGUGUCCGAGUUGUAAUCUCUAGAAGUGUUUUCCGCGUUGGACCGCACACAAGUCUGUUGGAAUACAGCGGCAUAGUGGUGAAACCCCCGUAUAUGGUGCGGACGCCCAGCGCUUUGUGAUACACUUUCAAUGAGUCGAGUUGUUUGGGAAUGCAGCUCAAAUUGGGUGGUAAAUUCCAUCUAAAGCUAAAUAUUGGCGAGAGACCGAUAGCGAACAAGUACCGUGAGGGAAAGAUGAAAAGCACUUUGGAAAGAGAGUUAACAGUACGUGAAAUUGUUGGAAGGGAAACGCUUGAAGUCAGACUUGCUUGCCGGAGCUUGCUUCGGUUUGCAGGCCAGCAUCAGUUUUCCGGGGUGGAUAAUGACGGUUUGAAGGUAGCAGUCUCGGCUGUGUUAUAGCUUUCCGUUGGAUACAUCCUGGGGGACUGAGGAACGCAGCGUGCUUUUUGCGAAAGACUCGUCUUUUUCACGCUUAGGAUGCUGGUGGAAUGGCUUUAAACGACCCGUCUUGAAACACGGACCA
rnacentral:rRNA from 1 species